rnacentral:rRNA from 1 species
AUUGAACGCUGGCGGCAUGCCUUACACAUGCAAGUCGAACGGCAGCGCGGGGUCAACCCUGGCGGCGAGUGGCGAACGGGUGAGUAAUACUUCGGAACGUGCCCAGUAGCGGGGGAUAACGCAGCGAAAGUUGUGCUAAUACCGCAUAUUCUCUACGGAGGAAAGAGGGGGAUCGCAGGACCUCUCACUAUUGGAGCGGCCGAAGCCUGAUUAGUUAGUUGGUGAGGUAAAAGCUCACCAAGGCGACGAUCAGUAGCUGGUUUGAGAGAACGACCGGCCAGUCGGGGAACGAGACACAGCCAAGACUCCUACGGGAGGCGGCAGUGGGGAAUUUUGGACAAUGGGGGCAACCCUGAUCCGGCCAUGCCGCGGGCGGGAAGAAGGCCUUCGGGUUGGAAAACGCUUUUGUUCGGGAAGAAAUCGUCCUCGCUAAUCCCGGGGGCGGAUGACGGUACCGGAAGAAUAAGCACCGGCUAACUACGUGCCAGCAGCCGCCGUAACAC